rnacentral:rRNA from 1 species
AGGGAUGCUACCGAGCGACCGGAUGCGGAUCUCGAAAGCCUGUCCCAGUUCGGACUGGAGUCUGCAACCCGACUCCACGAAGUUGGAUUCGCUAGUAAUCGCGCAUCAGCCAUGGCGCGGUGAAUACGUUCCCGGGCCUUGUACACACCGCCCGUCAAGCCAUGGGAGCCGGGGGCGCCUGAAGUCCGGGACCGCGAGGACCGGCCUAGGGCGAAACUGGUAACUGGGGCUAAGUCGUAACAAGGUAAC